ensembl:lncRNA
AGUGGAGCUUGUUGUUGGUGUGAAGAAACUGUAGAAAGUGUGUGUGAGCUGAGCAGCAUGGAUCAGUGUGAGGACAGACAGGAGGGAGCCCGUCCCUCUAAAAGCACUCUGUGUGGGGAACAUGAGAGCCAGACCAAAGCUCAGAGGGACCAGCCUGGACCUCCACCCAGCUCUGUGUCCUGUAAGAGUGACUGGUCUGCAGAUCGUCCCAUUAAUUUUAAAUCCCAGCCUGUGUCUGCUGCAGAGAGGUGAGCUGUUAGCAACAUGAACUCUUUGAUGUCUGUUUUGUGUCUGAUUAAA